AUCCAACUCACGAGUCCCAAAUAGAACGAAACGCAUGUCUUGGAU
rnacentral:hammerhead_ribozyme from 1 species